UUAACUGACAGAUAAACCGUAGGCCUGUUUCUUGGAAUUUUCUUGAUGUCAGAGGAGGCGGCAGGGUGGUCUGGAGGACGUGAUGCUGCUGGAGCUAGCUCCUGACAUCCCUGUGUGUUCCUGUGUGAUCAUCCAAUCAAGCUCCUACCUUGCCUAGAGCACCAUGACUCACUACUAAAAACUCUGCAAGAGACAGGCUCCUUUGAUGGCGUCAGCCGGCUAAUUCUGGUGGGUGUGAUAACCCUUACCUGACAGAAAUAAAUACUUAAGUGUGGCACUCCGACAGGAAACAAUGUCUGGAUUAAAACACUCCCACAAACCAAGAGGAGGCAGAAGACACAUCGAACAGGAUUGGCAUAAGCUGAUUACUGACAGUCAGGGGAAAGUCUCCGGCAGGACCUUCUGGCUGAAUGGGACCUGCUGUGAUGUGGACGGAAGACCCAUUGUCUAACUCCACUUCAAGAAAUCCAUGAGACCUCUUCCGUUCGCACAGCUGACGCCACGAUGGCUCUCUGCCUUUCUAAAAAAGGAAAGCAGCACGGAGUGGCAAGGCUAGCUCCUAUCCUCUACCCCGUUGUCUGGGCAUAAUAAAAUGAUCAGGAUUUGA